UGUAGCUCGCUGAACAUGCCAAACACAGCAACACUCCUGUAAGAGCUCGACUGUGUGAAUCCGUUCGUCCAAGCGCUGCCCAUGUAGGAUUUGUGCCCUUACAUUUUCUAUUUAUGUGUCUCAUCCCCUCUUUCGUAGAAGAGUGUGUGCUCUCUGGGUUGAAAUAACAACUUCAACCACAUUUUAGGAGAGAAAGUAAGAGUUCUUCAAAGAAAAACAACAGAGAGAAAGAUGAGGCAUGGGCUGAAGGCUGGAGCCAGAGCCCACAAUGUCUAGCCUGGAAGGUUCUCUCAUUAGAGAGAUUGGAGCGCACAACCUCCUGGGAACCGCAGCGCCAGAGCGCAGCACUCAUCAGAGCUCUGGGAUCGCUCACUCUUAAAGGCCAUCUCAGUGAACUGAGCAUUGCUGGCUGGCAGGAGAAAUGACAAAAUGCAGUAAAGGAAAAAAGAGAAGGAAGAGGAGAAGAAAGGCAGAGGGGACAAAUAUUCCAGCGCGAGGUCUUCGGGGCACAGAUCAUCGGCCCCUCUGCAGCGAGGCCUCGGAGGCGGUCUUUAAUGUUCCCCCUUAAAUGAGGAGAAAAAACAUCUGAACCUGUGUACUCAGCCGGAAACCAUAAACCGUCAGGAGUCUUAACAAGGGCCAUUCACAUGUAAUUGUAACCGUCAAAAAGUCAUAGGGAUACACGGGUAGAAGUGUUUUCUCUACCUAUUUACCCCUGGUUGUAAAAUGCAUGUACAUUUGACUUUACACAAUCUCAUUUAACCUUUUUAACAUGGAUAACUAUUUACUUUGGGGAUAAUAAUAAAACAUA